rnacentral:rRNA from 1 species
UACAGAGGUGGCAAGCGUUGUUCGGAAUUACUGGGCGUAAAGGGCGCGUAGGUGGCCUUCUUAGUCAGACGUGAAAUCCCCGGGCUUAACUCGGGAACUGCGUCUGAUACUGGAAGGCUCGAGUUCGGGAGAGGAAUGUGGAAUUCCAGGUGUAGCGGUGAAAUGCGUAGAGAUCGGGAGGAACAUCUGUGGCGAAGGCGGCCAUCUGGACCAGCACUGACACUGAGGCACGAAAGCGUGGGGAGCAAACAGG